GAGGUGAACUUUUAGCCGCAAUGACCGAAAUCAAAGAACAAAGUUCCGUUCAGCCAAUGAAGCGUUUCAAAAAGGUUCCCAUUUACGUUGUCGAGGAGCACAAUGAUGCGUUGCAGUUUAUAUAUUCAGCCAUCGGUGGGAAAAAGCUACCUAUCGAAGGCACCGCCUUAUUACAUUUAGAUGCUCAUCCAGAUAUGCUCGUUGAUAGAAAAUUGAAAGGUGAAGAAGCACGUUCAGGGAGGAAACUUUUGCCGUUACUACAAAUAGAAAAUUGGAUAGUGCCAGCCGUAGCUGCUGGACACAUCGAUCACGUGAUUUGGCUUCGUCCGCCUUGGGCCAAACAAUUCACGGACGGAUCUCGUGUUAUACAAGUUGGCGAUCAUCCCUAUACAGGGCUGCUCCGUGUAGACAGCAAGGAACCGUAUUAUAUAUCCGACGCUUUAUAUUCCACAGAAUUAAAGAACGCUAGAAAAUUCACAUUAACAGUAGCAGAGUUCUCUAAUUUAAAAUUAAAAAGAAAUAAUGAACAGGAGUUGAAUAAAGUAAUCGACGCUAUGAAUAUUUGUCAACCCUAUGUGCUUGAUAUAGAUUUAGAUUUUUUCAGCACAGGAAAUCCAUUCUUAAGCUUGUACGAGAAUAUAGGAUUAUAUGAUCGUCUAGAACCUAUUUUUAGUUUUAAGAUUCCUGAAAACGAUGAUGUAUCUACAAUAGAAAAAGUUAUUGAAUCACGGGAGGCUCAACUAAAAGAACUGGAAAAUAUAUUUCAGCAUUUAGAAGAACAUGGCGAUUUACAGAAUUAUUCAGGAGAGAAGUCUCAUACUUUCAAAAUGGUAAUGGACAUAGUGACGGCCGUCUCUGUGGAAGCAGAACGUCUUAACGAGAAGCCUGAUUGGUGGGCAGUAUUUGCAGCAGGCUGUACCAGAGACCAGGGAGGGCUUCCCCAUUACAUUAACACAAAAGAAGGAAUAGAGACCAUGAUUAAAGAGUCCUUGGCGCUACUUUUGAAGAGACUGCCCCCGCCUGUUAUAAUCACCAUCGCCAGAUCUACAGAUGACGGUUACUGUCCACCGCAUCAGUCGAAUGACAAUAUAUAUGGCAGUAAGAUUAUCUGGUGGUGGUAGGCAUGACAUUUCUUUCCUCCAGAAUGGCAAUGCAUGUGGGGUACCACCAACAUAGCAAAAAUGAGAUCGUUUAUAUAAAAUAAGGAUAACAAUGGCCCAAGAAUAUAUCCUUGAGAUACACCCAUUCGCACAAUAGGCACCGAAAUAUGUAUGAUUAUAUACUGCCAACGGCACUAAUGAAGUUAAUUGCGAUACGGGAGUUCGCAUAACAUACAUAUGACUGUUUUCUCUAAUUACUUCAGGUCGAUUAUAUUCAGUUCCUAGUAUUAGAAACGCUACAAGAGAUAUAUGAAACAGACGAACCUAUUUUACAUUAUCUAAACGCCAG